UUACGUCGAUAGACGCACUUGAUGCAGUGCCUACACAGAUUGUUUUGUUUAUUUAUAAAGACGCGAUUAAUUGCUUAACCGGAAGGGAACCUUCCUGACAAUUAAUCUGCUCGCUAAAGAAGAGCGCUUAGCUUUGAUUUAAGAUCAAACCUAAGUGUUUUGAAUUAAGCACUAUGUUCUUUAACAAUUUGGAAAGCUGAUAUUAAUAGUAAUCAAUCAAAAUUGAGUAACUGAGAAAUCGAAAGAUGAACUUUUUACUCUACUUGACUGAAUUGCUUGUUAUCAAUUUAUUGAUAGCAAGGCAAUUCUUCCGAUUAGCUUGUCAUUCAUGCAACAUAACUUAGGCAGAAGUCAAAAGGCUGUUUGGGGUUGUAUGGUUAAGUGACGAAGCGUAUACGGUGGAUGCCUUGGC
rnacentral:misc_RNA from 1 species